AGGUGGGCUUUGGCCAGGCACAGUUUUACUUGGCUGGUGGCUACCUAAGAACCUUGGGGCCUGGCAGUGUUAAUCUGCGGAAUCAAAGAUGCCAGCAUUCCCACCCAACAUCCCACGGAAACAGAGACGUCGGGGCAAACGCCGCAGGCGACGAAGAAACAUCCGCCCCAAGACCCCAGUGCCAGUGCAGGAGAUUUCUCAGGCUCUACCACAAAGAACAAGAGAGGCGCUUCCAAGUCCUACGGAAAUCAUGGAAAUCACCCUGAUGAUCUCCUUCUAAUAAUCAGCCAGAAGAGGAAGAUAAUCAGGCCAGGAUGCAAAUCAAGUAGUCGGUAAGAAUAAAGCAAGAAAUAGAAGAGAUCUUCAUCAGAAGUCUGACAUCAUCAACACUCAGUGGCUACGAACAUAGACACUGAUAUUAGGAAAGAGACUGACUUUACUAUAAAACUAAGACAAAGGAUAACAGAAACAGAUGUGGCCUAUAAUAAAAAAAAGCCUUACAACAUGAUCCA